rnacentral:piRNA from 1 species
UGUUACAAGUGGAAGCUCCGAAAGGCGAC